rnacentral:tRNA from 6 species
GGUUUCGCUAGGCAUGUCGGUUAGCCAAGCAACUCAUAAUCCUUUGGUCCACGGUUCGAGUCCGUGUGGGCCCACCA